ACUGCCCCUAGAAUUGUUGCAGGUUAGUUGGCAGGGAGAAGAGAGACUCACUUACACUCAGCAUUCUGGCCCUGGACGUCUGGAUGGUUGAUAGACUGACAUU
ensembl:snoRNA